rnacentral:rRNA from 1 species
GGAGGGUGCAAGCGUUGUCCGGAUUUAUUGGGUUUAAAGGGUGCGUAGGCGGCCCGUUAAGUCAGCGGUGAAAUCCCAGGGCUCAACCCUGGAACUGCCGUUGAUACUGGCGGGCUUGAGUUCGGUCGAGGCGGGCGGAACUGGUGGUGUAGCGGUGAAAUGCAUAGAUACCACCAAGAACCCCGAUUGCGUAGGCAGCUCGCUAGGCCGAAACUGACGCUGAGGCACGAAAGCGUGGGGAGCGAACAGGAUUAGAUACCCUGGUAGUCCACGCCGUAAACGAUGAGUACUCGAUGUUGGCGAUACACAGCCAGCGUCCAAGCGAAAGCGUUAAGUACUCCACCUGGGGAGUACGCCCCGCAAGGUG